rnacentral:rRNA from 1 species
GCCCAGACUCCUACGGGAGGCAGCAGUGGGGAAUAUUGCACAAUGGGGGAAACCCUGAUGCAGCGACGCCGCGUGAGUGAAGAAGUAUUUCGGUAUGUAAAGCUCUAUCAGCAGGGAAGAAAAUGACGGUACCUGACUAAGAAGCCCCGGCUAACUACGUGCCAGCAGCCGCGGUAAUACGUAGGGGGCAAGCGUUAUCCGGAUUUACUGGGUGUAAAGGGAGCGUAGACGGCAGCGCAAGUCUGAAGUGAAAUCCCAUGGCUUAACCAUGGAACUGCUUUGGAAACUGUGCAGCUAGAGUGCGGGAGAGGUAAGCGGAAUUCCUAGUGUAGCGGUGAAAUGCGUAGAUAUUAGGAGGAACACCAGUGGCGAAGGCGGCUUGCUGGACCGUAACUGACGUUGAGGCUCGAAAGCGUGGGGAGCAAACAGGAUUAGAUACCCGAGUA